rnacentral:rRNA from 1 species
CCCCCCAGGGCUCUGUGAUGCGCUCUCAACGAGUCGAGUUGUUUGGGAAUGCAGCUCAAAAUGGGUGGUGAACUCCAUCUAAAGCUAAAUAUUGGCGAGAGACCGAUAGCGAACAAGUACCGUGAGGGAAAGAUGAAAAGCACUUUGGAAAGAGAGUGAAACAGUACGUGAAAUUGUUGAAAGGGAAACGCUUGAAGUCAGUCGCGUCAACCGAGACUCAGCCUUGCCUUGGCUUGGUGUACUUCUCGGCUUGACGGGUCAGCAUCAAUUUUGAUCCUUGGAUAAUGGCAAGGGAAAGGUAGCACCUUUUUAGGUGUGUUAUAGUCCUCUGUCGCAUGCAAGGAUCAGGAUUGAGGAACUCAGCAUGCACCUUUGGGUGUCGGGGCCCUUGGCCCACGUUACGUGCUUAGGAUGCUGGCGUAAUGGCUUUAAACGACCCGUCUUGAAACACGGACCAAGGAGUCUAACAUACCCGCGAGUGUUCGGGUGGAAAACCCGUGUGCGUAAUGAAAGUAAAAGUUGGGACCUCUGUCGUGGAGGGCACCGACGCCCGGACCAGACCUUCUGUGACGGCUCUGCGGUAGAGCGUGUAUGUUGGGACCCGAAAGAUGGUGAACUAUGCCUGAAUAGGGUGAAGCCAGAGGAAACUCUGGUGGAGGCUCGUAGCGAUUCUGACGUGCAAAUCGAUCGUCAAAUUUGGGUAUAGGGGCGAAAGAC